rnacentral:rRNA from 1 species
GACGAACGCUGGCGGCGUGCUUAACACAUGCAAGUCGAACGGAAAGGCCCUGCUUUUGUGGGGUGCUCGAGUGGCGAACGGGUGAGUAACACGUGAGUAACCUGCCCUUGACUUUGGGAUAACUUCAGGAAACUGGGGCUAAUACCGGAUAGGAGCUCCUGCUGCAUGGUGGGGGUUGGAAAGUUUCGGCGGUUGGGGAUGGACUCGCGGCUUAUCAGCUUGUUGGUGGGGUAGUGGCUUACCAAGGCUUUGACGGGUAGCCGGCCUGAGAGGGUGACCGGCCACAUUGGGACGGAGAUACGGCCCAGACCCUUACGGGAGGCAGCAGGGGGGAAUAUUGCACAAUGGGCGGAAGCCUGCUGCAGCAACGCCGCGUGCGGGAUGACGACCUUCGGGUUGUAACCGCUUUCGCCUGCGACGAAGCGUGAGUGACGGUAAUGGGUAAAGAAGCACCGGCUAACUACGUG